AGUUGUUUUCUCAAGCUCAGGUUCUUUUCCUCUGUAGUUAGUCUCAAAACAACCACAACAUAUUUGGUAUUUAGUACAGUUUUGGAAAAGAAGUUUAUCCCACAAAAUAUCAAAUGAUCUUGAACUAAAAGUCCAGACUAUGUUCUUCCAUGUGACAUCAAGUAAACAGCCUCUAAUGAUUUCUUGCUAAGACACCUCUGCAGUCCUGAACUCUGUACAAAUCACGAUAAUAAUCACUAUGAAGUCUUCAAGAACAGAGACUCUACUGAAUUCAUAUUGAGACUUGCCCUCACUAUCAGAACAAAGCUAUAUAUGACAGAGACCCCUGGCUGCUUUUGAUAAAUGAAAUCAGUGAACAGGAAAAAGAUACAUCUCAUCUAAGGAACUCACAAGAGGCUUAUCCUAUGAAAAAUGGGUUGCAGAUAAACAAUUCCUCAUGCGGGAAACCUUGUCAAUAAUGGUAAGAAGCAGCAUGGCCUGUUGGACAGGAAGAUGAGAAGAAAGAAAGAACUCAUUUUUAAAAGGUACGAAACCAACAUGGGUUAUUAAGUUUGAAGCAAAAUCAACAUUUAUUUAUCAGUGCUUAGAAAAAGGAGGAAUGGUCCAUUAAAACAGUUCAAUAGUUUCUACUUCCUGCUGAAAAAAAAAUGGAAUUUCUUUCCAUAAACUGCAACUCAAUUGGCAGAUAGACAUUAGCCAUACUCAACUAUCUGUGUCUUCUUAAACACAUCAAGAUCCUUCACGUCUCCAUGGCUUUAUAUUCAUGCAUGCUCUUCCUCCCAAACUGCAGUUGGUGGAAAAAGCUCUCUCUGGACUACAUACAACUUUUCUGUAAAGGGCCAGAUAGUAAAUAUUUUAGGCCUUAUAGGCCAUGCGAUCUCCAACAACUAUUCAAAUCUGUUGUACCAGGGAGGCAGCUUUCAGAAACAAAUAAGCUAAUUAGUAUGUCUAUGUUCCAAUAAAACAUUAUGUGUGAACACCAAAGUUUAAAUUUCACAAAAUUCUGUAUGUCAAGAAAAUAUUUUUCUUUUUGUUUUCCUAAUAAUCAUUUGGAAAAUGUAAAAACACAUUCUGAGACAGUAGGCAAUACAAAAACAGACUGUAGGCCAUAUUUGGCCGGUAGACUGUAGUUUGCUGAUCUCUGAUCUAAACAAUUUCAUGGCCAAGCACUCCUUUGUUUUCUUUCAGAGUACUUUUUUUAUAUUAUGCCAUUGUUUGUAUUACUCAUCUCUAAAUCCACCACUUCUUACAAACCAUGAACUCCUUAAAAUCAUCAACUACUGCAAGCAUAUAGUGGUUAAGAACAUAGAGUGUGGAGCCAGACUUACUAGGUUGGACUUCAAGUUCCAAUACUGUAGUAUGAGCUUCAAAAGCAUUUUUAAGCUCUCUGUGCCUCUGUUAUUCAUUUGUUAAAAAUAAAAUGAGAGUAAUAAUUGUCCAUAUAACACAAAGUUGUUUUGAAGUAUGCUUAAAACAUGAUGCCAACCUAAAUUUGUUUAAGAGUUCUAGCAAAUUUGUACUGGGAAGUGAGAACCUUUUG